rnacentral:rRNA from 1 species
UACGUAGGGUGCAAGCGUUGUCCGGAAUUAUUGGGCGUAAAGAGCUCGUAGGCGGUCUGUUGCGUCGGCUGUGAAAACCCGGGGCUCAACCCCGGGCCUGCAGCCGAUACGGGCAGACUAGAGUUCGGCAGGGGAGACUGGAAUUCCUGGUGUAGCGGUGAAAUGCGCAGAUAUCAGGAGGAACACCGGUGGCGAAGGCGGGUCUCUGGGCCGAUACUGACGCUGAGGCACGAAAGCUAGGGGAGCAAACAGG